AGCGAACGCUGGCGGUAGGCUUAACACAUGCAAGUCGAACGGCAGCACAGUAAUAGCUUGCUCUUACGGGUGGCGAGUGGCGGACGGGUGAGGAGAAUAUCGGAAUCUACUUUUUCGUGGGGGAUAACGUAGGGAAACUUACGCUAAUACAGCAUACGACCUACGGGGGAAAGCAGUGGAUCUUCUGAGCUUGCGCGGAUGAAUGAGCCGAUGUCGGAGUAGCUAGUUGGCGGGGUAAAGGCCCACCAAGUGGACGAUCGGUAGCUGGUCUGAGUGACUGAUCGGCCACCUUGGAGGUGGGACAGGGACCAUGCUCCUGCGGGAGGGACCAGUGGGGAAUAUUGGGCAAUGGGCGCAAGCCUGAUCCAGCCAUACGGCGUGGGUGAAGAAGGCCUUGCGGUUGUAAUGCCCUUUUGUUGGGAAAGAACAGCAUCCGGUUAAGACCCCGCUGUACUGACGGUACCCAAAGAAUAAGCACCGGCUAACUUCGUG
rnacentral:rRNA from 1 species